rnacentral:rRNA from 1 species
AGGAUGAACGCUGGCGGCGUGCCUAACACAUGCAAGUCGAACGAAGCCUUCGGGCUUAGUGGCGGACGGGUGAGUAACACGUUAGUACCUACCCUUUAGUGGGGAAUAACUCGGCGAAAGUCGGGCUAAUACCGCAUACGAUCCUUCGGGAUGAAAGCAUUUAUGCGCUAAAGGAGGGGCUUGCGUCUGAUUAGCUAGUUGGCGGGGUAAAUGCCCACCAAGGCAAUGAUCAGUAGCUGGUUCGAGAGGAUGACCAGCCACACUGGGACUGAGAUACGGCCCAGACUCCUACGGGAGGCAGCAGUGAGGAAUCUUCCGCAAUGGACGAAAGUCUGACGGAGCAACGCCGCGUGCAGGAUGACGGCCUUCGGGUUGUAAACUGCUUUAUUUGGGAAGAUUGUGACGGUACCAAAUGAAUAAGGACCGGCUAACUACGUGCCAGCAGCCGC